GACAGAGGCCUCAAGCGUUAGGCGGAAUCACUGGGCUUAAAGCGUGUGUAGGCGGAUCGUUAAGUACCUUGUGAAAUCCCACGGCUCACCCGUGGGAACUGCUGGGUAUACUGGCGAUCUUGGGCCAACUAGGGGCAGCUGGAACAAGCGGUGGAGCGGUGAAAUGCGCAGAUAUCAGGAGGAACACCGAUGGCGAAGGCAGGUCUCUGGGCCACUACUGGACGCUGAGAAGCGAAAAGCAUGGGGAGCGAACAGG
rnacentral:rRNA from 1 species